AUUCAUGAUAUGGUGUUGGUUGUCGUACAUCGCUAUGGCCAAUUUAAAAGACGACAAUUUGAGUAGUUGGUUUCUGGGCUUGAUUAGAGUUUCCGAAAUAACCUAAUAAUAAGUUGAAGUUGAAUUUGUGUACACACAAUUUGAAUCCUCGGGAUGGCCUACGUACACUGAGCGAUGCCCAAUACGAGAAGCUCACCGCGUUGUAUGACCUGUCUGGUUAUUCCUUAUUAUUAUGAAACUUCGAUUGAUUGGUUUAACUGGAAGGUGCUAUGCUGAUGUAGCUAUCGAUGCAGCGUGUGAUCGUCGAGGUGGUAAUCGUAACUGAAGACCAAAGCAAGUUGCUGCAGUACGAAGCAGUCUGGAUGGAUUGCUAGCUGGUACAGGAUUUGGAGCGCUCUUUACAAUUGUUUCUAAACACCGACCUCCGAAAGUAACGUCUCCCGUUGGUGGUUGCGUGUUAUCUAUGUGCUCCAUAGAACAGCUCCGACGAGAACUUCCGUAACUGCUCAUUCUAUCUCGUCACGUCAUUGACCUGGAGUCAAUCGUUGUGUACAUAGUUUUAAGGUAAUGAAGGCACCUUGAGCCAGUGUCUAAAAUUAAAAACUGGCCAUGUCGAAAGCUGCAAGGUUGCGAAGGUCUUCAGUUCCUACAGCUCUGAAUCACUGGAGGUCGAACGCCUGAGAACGGAUGAACGAGAAUCCAGGGGAGACUAGUACUAAUAGUCGGACCUAGAACACGUAAUGUGGACAAUAAGGGGAUACGAUGAAUUUUUUGCUUGCAAGAAAAGAUGCAUCUGAAUUUGUAUUGUAAUAUGCACAUCUUAUUUGCAUUUCAAAUCACAAUAUUGUUUUAGUGCGGAGCAUUCUGUAUGCAUUGCAAGCCGACGCAAGCUUCAUACUUUACAGCUGUUCCUGAAUACUGAUCGACCUCUAAAAGGCUGGUAUGUGUUUACGUUGACAAUUUCCGACGUUCGCCUAACAUUUAGCAGUGCCUACAUAGUGUUGCGAUAUGAUAUUAUGAUAUCAAGAGAAAAAUCCUGAUAUGAUGAGAGAAGGAUGCUUUUUGCUUGCUGCAAUUAGGCGUUAAUUCAAAGUUCCAUUUGUGUAUUGAACAUUGUAGCCUUUGUGACUGCUGAAUUUCUAUCUCGAUUUGAGGUAAAUUACAUGUUAAUUGUUUUUUUUUACAUGUUACUGCGCAUCUAAAUUCGUACAGAAAAAAAACGUAUUAGGAGAAUCUAGUUCUGCUGGAUUAUGAUGAGGCUUGUACUUGCUACUCUGAGUACAGAUGAGAUUUUCACAACUCUGAACAUUCUUAGAAUGAAACAUUUCCAGAGAAACGCUUGGGUUUGAUUCCCUAGUUCAAAAAAAAAUUUUGCCACUUUAGGUAAUGAGGACGCUUCCAAGGAAAUGGCUGAAAAGUAAAAACUGGAUGUAACUGUUAUCAGCGUAACGUGUGUAUUUUAUAUAUCGUCAUUGAGAGGCCAUGAUGCCAAAUCUGCCAUUAUCCAUUGAUAAAAAGCGGCACACAACUAACGCUCAUCCGCAAUCUUCAACUACUUUUAGUUAAUUGUGCUUGCGAGGCUACAAAGAAGAGAACUCAGAGGAAACCAGUAAUAAAGUUGUGCCUGCGAAUAAUUGCAAAUCAAUGGGAAAUAUGAAUAACAAAUGUUCUUGCCAGAGAAUAAUAAAAGAUUCAUCUGAAUUUGUAUUAUAAACAAACUAUUCUCAUUUGCUUUAAAGGUUAUGUAUAUCUUCAACACAUAAGCAGUGUGUAUGAAAUUACGUUCAUAUACAAACACGAUAGCUAUUUUAGGAAGUACAGACGAAAUAACGGUUAUCAAGAGCAUGCGCGCUCAGCUUCUCCAAGAUGUAAAGCAAUGAAUGUUUCGAGUAAUUAAUCGGCACCUUGAAAUUGUGAAGUGAUCGCAUGGUGCGGCUUGAACACAACUAUUCCCUAAUAAAGAGUCAAGUUAAUUUGUUGAGUCAAACAAAAUGUUCAGGUUUUUAUGAAGCUAUUCGUAACGAUAUGGACCCUCGUUUUACGUAAGCAAUUCUACCUGAUUCAUAAGUCUCCCGAAGUAAAGUGUAAAUAUAUGUUACAUGUAUGUAUAGUUUUACCCUACAUUUAAAUUGUGGUAAGCCAGUAGUAGCCGCGCUACACGAAGCUUUUUACAUACCAGUGUGGUCAUUUUG
rnacentral:lncRNA from 1 species